rnacentral:rRNA from 1 species
CAGCAGCCACGGUAAUACGAAGGGUGCAAGCGUUACUCGGAAUUACUGGGCGUAAAGCGUGCGCAGGCGGUUUGUUAAGACAGAUGUGAAAUCCCCGGGCUUAACCUGGGAACUGCAUUUGUGACUGGCCGGCUAGAGUAUGGCAGAGGGAGGUGGAAUUCCACGUGUAGCAGUGAAAUGCGUAGAUAUGUGGAGGAACACCGAUGGCGAAGGCAGCCUCCUGGGCCAAUACUGACGCUCAUGCACGAAAGCGUGGGGAGCAAACAGGAUUAGAUACCCGAGUAGUCCCUGUCUCUUAUAC